AGUGGCGAAAGGGGCAGUAAUGCGUGGGUAACCUACCCUGGGGACGGGGAUAGCCUUCCUAACGGAAGGGUAAUACCUGGCGAUUCGGCGAAGGGACAUCCCUAUGCCGGGAAAUGAGUUUCGCCUCGGGAGGGGCUCAUGUGAUAUUAGCUAGUUGGUGAGGUAACGGCUCACCAAGGCGAAGAUGUCUAGCGGGUGUGAGAGCACGACCCGCGCCACUGGCACUGAGACACUGGCCAGACACCUACGGGUGGCUGCAGUCGAGGAUCUUCGGCAAUGGGCGCAAGCCUGACCGAGCGACGCCGCGUGUGCGAUGAAGGCCUUCGGGUUGUAAAGCACUGUCGAGGGGGAGGAAGCCGCAAGGUUGACCUAUCCCUGGAGGAAGCACGGGCUAAGUUCGUGCCAGCAGCCGCGGUAAGACGAACCGUGCGAACGUUGUUCGGAAUCACUGGGCUUAAAGGGCGCGUAGGCGGGUUUUCAAGUCUGUGGUGAAAUCCUCCAGCUUAACUGGAGAAGUGCCGUGGAUACUGGAGACCUCGAGGAGGGUAGGGGCAUCUGGAACAGCCGGUGGAGCGGUGAAAUGCGUUGAUAUCGGCUGGAACUCCGAUGGCGAAGGCAAGGUGCUGGACCCUUUCUGACGCUGAGUGCGCGAAAGCCAGGGGAGCGAACGGGAUUAGAUACCCCGGUAGUCCUGGCCCUAAACGAUGAGGACUAGGUAGUGGACUUACAUGGGUUCACUGUCGAAGCAAAAGUGCUAAGUACCCCGCCUGGGGAGUAUGGUCGCAAGGCUGAAACUCAAAGGAAUUGACGGGGGCUCACACAAGCGGUGGAGCAUGUGGCUUAAUUCGAGGCUACGCGAAGAACCUUAUCCUGGGCUUGACAUGUGCGAAAGCGGCAGGAGGUACCCAGCGGAAACGUUUGGGGAACGGUAUCCAAUCCGGAACCUGCUACAGGUGCUGCAUGGCUGUCGUUAGCUCGUGUCGUGAGAUGUCGGGUUAAGUCCCAUAACGAGCGAAACCCUUGCUCCUAGUUGCCAGCGCGUCAUGGCGGGGACUCUAGGAGGACUGCCGGUGUCAAACCGGAGGAAGGCGGGGAUGACGUCAAGUCCUCAUGGCCUUUAUGCCCAGGGCUGCACACGUGCUACAAUGCGGCGUACAAAGGGAUGCGAGACCGCAAGGUGGAGCCAAUCCCAAAAAACGUCGCUCAGUUCAGAUCGAAGGCUGCAACUCGCCUUCGUGAAGCUGGAAUCGCUAGUAAUCGCGGAUCAGCAAUGCCGCGGUGAAUGUGUUCCUGAGCCUUGUACACACCGCCCGUCAAGCCACGAAAGGGAGGAGCGCCCGAAGUCGCCGCACCAAGCCGGCGCCGAAGGCGAGACUCCUGAUUGGGACUAAGUCGUAACAAGGUAACCGUA
rnacentral:rRNA from 1 species